GCAGGUGUCUAACCAUGAUGUCAGAACUGUCUAUGGUGUAGGUGUCAUAGUAUCAGUCAGUCAGGUGUUCACAUAGGUGUCUCAAGAUACAGGUGUCUAACCCUGAUGAUAGAACUGUCCCUGGUAUAGGUGUCAGUCACAGUCAGGUGUCUCAAGAUACAGGUGUCUAACUCUGAUGUCAGAAUUGUCUAUGGUGUAAGUGUCAGUCUCAGUCAGGUGUCUCAAGAUGCAGGUGUCUAACCCUGAUAGAACUGUCCCUGGUAUAGGUGUCAGUCACAGUCAGGUGUUCACAUAGGUGUCUCAAGAUGCAGGUGUCUAACCCUGAUGACAACUGUCCAUGGUGUAGGUGUCAGUCUCAGUCAGAUGUUCCAGCAGGUGUCUAACCCUGAUGACAACUGUCCAUGGUGUAGGUGUCACAGUCUCAGUCAGAUGUUCCAGCAGGUGUCUAACCCUGAUGACAGAACUGUCCAUGGUGUAGGUGUCAGUCUCAGUCAGAUGUUCCAGCAGGUGUCUCAAGCUGCAGGUGUCUAACUCUGAUGACAGAACUGUCC